rnacentral:rRNA from 1 species
AUUUUCUGCCACCGAAUACAUUAGCAUGGGAUAAUGGAAUAGGACCCUGUCCUCCUAUUUUCAGUUGGUUUUGGCAGCGCGAGGACUAGGGUAAUGAUUAAUAGGGAUAGUUGGGGGCAUUAAUAUUUAAUUGUCAGAGGUGAAAUUCUUGGAUUUAUGAAAGAUUAACUUCUGCGAAAGCAUCUGCCAAGGAUGUUUUCAUUAAUCAAGAACGAAAGUUAGGGGAUCGAAGACGAUCAGAUACCGUCGUAGUCUUAACCAUAAACGAUGCCGACCAGCGAUUAGGAGACGUUGAAUACAAAACACCACCAUCGGCGCGGUCGUCCUUGGCGCGUUCGUGUUCACGCACGGGCGCGCGAGGGCGGCUUAGCCCGGUGGCACCGGUGAAUGACUCCCCUAGC